CGCGCACGUCCUUAAUAUAAACAGGUCAUUCCUGGAGGUUGAAAAGCGGAUGAAAUUUCCGGCGUGCGCU
ncrna:unclassified sequences RAGATH-21 RNA